GGUGUCAGGCCCCAGCCCAAGUUGGGACGAGGAACCGGGACUGGCUCGGGCUCAGCUCCCAGCUCCGUGACAUGUGGCUCUGAGUCCCUGCCGGGUCCCAAGCGUGAGCGGCUGGCCCAGCAGUCCCCUCCCCGCCUGUCCUACCCAGGGGCUGCUUGAGCCACAGGUGGCUUGUCCUGGCAAGGAGCCUCGCGAGCGCCCAUCAGGCAUGACUGCCCAUGAUCAGCACCUGUCCCACCGCUCCGCCAGGGACCCGCAGCCCCAGCAGAGGCCUGUGCAGCCUCCUCGCACCGUACCUCCAGCCACAGCCCCGCAGGUGGACGUGCCCGUGUGCAGCCACAGGCCCUGCCGCGCUCCAGCUUCUUUUCCUGCUUCCGUUCGCUCUCGUCCAGCCGCCCUUCAGGGACCUGCAAUAGUACACAAGACAGAAGUCCAGCUGACUGGCAAUGAAUUGCACACCCCCAUAGCAUGUAAAAUAACGUCGCUCACGCCGCCUACUGUACUCUCAAGCUUGGUGUCCUUUCAAAACAAGGGGGUGUGACAUACGUCCGGUUUCCUAAAUGAGGAGUACCCCGCUAGCACUCACCCGCGUAUGACAACAGGAGGACCUGAGGCACGAAUCCUGUGUAUAAGGGGGUCCCGCUGCUCCAAACCUUCCACGACAUGUUCUGCACACGGUCGACAACUUGGGGAUGCAACUUGCAGAGAGGACAGACACCGUGUCCAAACCCCUUUACCUUCCCUCGGGGUGGGCUGGCGUGGGUCUCUUCCCUCCUUGGUGGCUAACUCCUGCUCGUCUGCCAUUUCCCUGCUUCUCCUUCUGGGGCCUUAGAAAACAGACGGGCACUGGAUUUAAGUCAGCACAUCAGAGGACGAGACUACAGGCCCCAACUUCUCUUCUCCUCUUACCUGUACAUGCACCUGCUGCCACUCCAUCGUCAGUCCGUGCAAAGUGGGAAGAGCAGACGUCUGCAGGUUCGGCCUCUGACAUCCAGCCCGGAGCAGAGCGCGAUGGGCCAGGACUCUGGACAGAACUGCUCGGGCGGCGCCAUGAACGGUGACCGCAAGCACCGGCAACCCUGCUUCCAGGGCGGUGCUCCCUGCACACAGCUGGCUGCCGGGGCGUGAAGCCCGGAGACAACCUGCAAAGCCCUGAACUCCAGUUGACAGCUGCCUCAGGUGGUCUCGAUCAGGGGUCAAAGCUGCUCCAUGGCUGGGGUCAUAUGCCCCAGGACUUCAGGCUCCU